rnacentral:rRNA from 1 species
AUACGGAGGAUCCGAGCGUUAUCCGGAUUUAUUGGGUUUAAAGGGAGCGUAGGUGGAUUGUUAAGUCAGUUGUGAAAGUUUGCGGCUCAACCGUAAAAUUGCAGUUGAAACUGGCAGUCUUGAGUACAGUAGAGGUGGGCGGAAUUCGUGGUGUAGCGGUGAAAUGCUUAGAUAUCACGAAGUACUCCGAUUGCGAAGGCAGCUCACUAGACUGUUACUGACACUGAUGCUCGAAAGUGUGGGUAUCAAACAGGAUUAGAUACCCUGGUAGUCCACACAGUAAACGAUGAAUACUCGCUUUUUGCGAUAUACAGUAAGCGGCCAAGCGAAAGCAUUAAGUAUUCCACCUGGGGAGUACGCCGGCAACGGUGAAACUCAAAUGAAUUGACGGGG